rnacentral:rRNA from 1 species
GUCCUACGGGAGGCAGCAGUGGGGAAUAUUGGACAAUGGGGGCAACCCUGAUCCAGCGACGCCGCGUGUGUGAAGAAGGCCUGCGGGUUGUAAAGCACUUUUAGUGGGGAUGAAAAGCCGAAGGCUAAUACCUUUCGGUCUUGACCUAACCCAAAGAAAAAGCACCGGCUAACUCUGUGCCAGCAGCCGCGGUAAUACAGAGGGUGCAAGCGUUAAUCGGAAUUACUGGGCGUAAAGCGUGCGUAGUCGGUUAGCUAAGUCGGAUGUGAAAUCCCCGGGCUCAACCUGGGAAUUGCAUUCGAUACUGGAUAGCUAGAGUUCGGCAGAGGGAAGCGGAAUUUCGGGUGUAGCGGUGAAAUGCGUAGAUAUCCGAAGGAACAUCAGUGGCGAAAGCGGCUUCCUGGACCAGAACUGACGAUCAGGCACGAAAGCGUGGGGAGCAAACAGGAUUAGAUACCCUAGUAGUC